UGAGGAAUAUUGGUCAAUGGGGGAAACCCUGAACCAGCGACGCCGCGUGUGGGACGAAGGGGCUUUGCCCUGUAAACCACUGUUGAGAGGGAAGAAAUGCUUUUUUUGAAAGCGGGGACUGUACCUCUUAAGAAAGGAUCGGCUAACUACGUGCCAGCAGCCGCGGUAAUACGUAGGAUCCAAGCGUUGUCCGGAAUCACUGGGUGUAAAGGGUGCGUAGGCGGGCUUGUGCGUCAGAGGUUAAAUCCCACAGCUUAACUGUGGAACUGCCUUUGAUACGGCAAGUCUUGAGUGUGAGAGAGGGUGGUAGAAUUCUUGGUGUAGCGGUGAAAUGCGUAGAUAUCAAGAGGAAUACCCGUGGCGAAGGCGGCCAUCUGGCUCACUACUGACGCUGAGGCACGAAAGCGUGGGGAGCAAACAGG
rnacentral:rRNA from 1 species